AAGGCCCAAGAGACGGAGGCACAAGAAUCAGAGGUGCUCCCAUUCACACAGUCUACAGAAUCAGAGGUGCUCCCAUUCACACAGUCUACAAGAAUCAGAGGUGCUCCCAUUCACACAGUCUACAAGAAUCAGAGGUGCUCCCAUUCACACAGUCUACAGAAUCAGAGGUGCUCCCAUUCACACAGUCUGGAGGCUCAUAAAGCAUUAAACUGAACACUAUAGUAUAUAUGAAGAGGAUCUUGUACAGACCAUGGGGUGCUCUGAAUUCCGAGGGAUUUGAGGGAAACAUCUCAUUUAGACUGUCUUCACAAAAACCAAAAGGACAAUUUUCAGUUUCAUAUGGAAACAGAAACACACACACACCCUCACUCACUUAGGAUACAGUAGUAAGGACAGCAUGGUAGUGGAACUGAAUCAAAGACUCGGGUAUAAGUGCACACACCUAUGGGCACACCUGAUUUUUUGACACAGAAGCCAGAAGUACACAGUAGAAAAAGAGCAAGCAUCUCCAAUGAACGGUGCUGGUAAAACUGGACAGCUUCAUGCAGGAGGUGUAUACAGAUGGGAAUGUAAAUAGAUCUGCACCAUUACCCUUCACAAAACAAACCUCCAAAUGGACCAAGGACCUCCACGUAAGACCCCAUACACUGAAUUGAUAGGAAAGAAAGUGGGGAUAGUCUUGAAGUCACUUGCACAGAUAGACUUUCUGAACAGAACAUCAUUAGCACAGGCACUAAGACCAACAAUUGAUAAACAGGACCUCAUCAAAAUGAAAAGCUUCUAUUUGAGCAAAGAGGCAGGCUACAGAAUGGGGAAAGAUCUUUGCCAAUCACAAAUAUGAUAAAGGGUUAGUAUCUAAAAGAUAUAAAGAAUUUAAAAAAUGGACAUCAAGAAAACAAAUAACCCAGCUUAAAGACAGAUGGGGGCACCGAACUAAGCAGAGAGUUCUCAGAGGAUGAAACACUGCGGCUGAGGAGCAUUUAAAGACACGUUCAGCAUCUUUAGUCUUCAGGAAAAUGUGAAUCAAAACUACGUUGAGAUUUCAUCUUAUACCUGUCAGAAUAGCCAAGAGUAAUGAACAGAUAGCUCGUGCUGGUGAGGGUGCAGGGGAAGCAGACAUUCCCUGCUGGAGAAAGUGAGAGCAUACUGCCACUACAGAAAUCAGCAUGGCAGUUCCUCCGGAACGGAAGUAGAUCUACCUCAGAUCUACAACUCUUGGGCACGGACCCAAAGAGCUCUCCAUCCCACAGGAGCUACCUGUUCAUCCAUGUUCCCUGCUGCCUUGCCAUAAUAGUCAGAGACUGGAAUCAACCUAGAUGCUUGUUAGCUGAUGGAACAGGUAAUGACAUGGUACACGGACACAAUGGAAUAGCGUCUGCUGUUAAAAAGUCAAAUUUAAAGGUGAAUAUAAGGAGCUAGGGGAAAAAAAAACAUUUGGAGGCAACCUGGAUUCCCAAGGACAAAUAAUGUACGUGACUUAUAUAUGGGUACUAGCUUUUAAGCCUUCAAUGUUCAUGCUACAAUCUACAUAACCACAGAGGAUAGGUAAGGACUCCAGGGAGGAGAGGAUCUCCCUAGGAAGGGAAAUAGAAUAUGCAGUGAUGGAGAGACUGGUGGGGCCGAGGGGAAGGCUGCAGCGGGAUGACUGACUGGAGUGAGGGACGAUGGGAGUGGUCAGAGGGACCACGAGGAGGGACAACUAACACUUAUGGGGUCACACGAAAACUCACGACUGCAGAAGCUUCCUAAAACAUAUACACAGAUGAAGGAAGUCUAAGUGGAGUCACCACGUACCGUGGAGAAAAAUGCCGAUUAGACAUCUUUCACAACCAAGUGAAACCUCCCAGGUCAGGACUCGGUUACGUCUAGGUGAGUUGUUGGCCCCAGGGGCCUUAUGGGAACUCCCAAACAUCUCAGGCUAUUGCUAAACCAACUGGUUGUUCCCCACCAACUCAUGGUAAGAUACUAUUGCUAAAGAGAACGCUCAGAUAGUUCACUGGACAUGGAGAGGCUGAGCUGGUGCCUAACCAGAGGCUUCACCCAUAUUGAGUAGUGCUCGUGGCACUGGCAGGUACUCUGCACACUACCAAAGGUGAACACAAACCCAGCUACAAACCCUGUGAUCUCUAACAGCGAGCUGACAGACACACUGGCAACCACUGUGGGAGUAAGCAUCCGAUACUGAGGAGACAGGGGCCACUGAGCAGAGAGAGAGAGACCUUGGACCAUCAGUCCUAAUGAGAUGACACCAUCAAAGCCCUCCCCUCAGGGCUUAGGCUGCUCUGUGGAAGAGGAGGCAGCUAGACUGUAAGGGGCAGAGGUGAGGUAUGACUACAGGAAACAGUGUCUUCCACACACAACAGGACUGACAACAUGAACUCGGUGACUGUGGCAGCAUGCACAGGACCUACACAGGUGCAAGCCAGAGGGGCUCCCAGUGCCAAGAGGGGAAGUGGACCUGGGCUCUCACACCAUCCAAGGAGCCACCUCCAAGCAGCAACCACUUACAAAGGAAAAACGAGUUUUCCCCAGUGGAGUGUCCUUGGGUAUAUGAAUCACACUUAAGGACAGCUCCCAUGCUCAGCAGUAGGUGGCCAACACAAAACGACCUCAGAGGUAUUUUAUAGACUUUUUGUUCAUAUUUGCUUUGUUUGGGCACUUUUUUUCUUACUAGUCUUGUGUAUUAUGAUUUCUGAUUUUGUGGGGUUUGUGUGUGUGGUUUUUGUGUGUGUGUGAUGUGUGUGUGAUAUGUGUGUGUCUCAUAGUUUUGUUUUUUGUCCCCCAGGUUGGGCUUUUGUAUUUUUGCUUGCAUGUUUGUUUGUUUGUUUGAGAGAGAGGGAGAGAGAGGGGGAAGGGUAUGGAGCUGGUUGGGUGGGGUGUGGGGGGAGUGAAAAUCGUGAUUAGAAUACAAUGUUUUCAAUUAAAAAAAAAGAAAGAACCGCAGUAAAUUAGUGUAAUGAUGUGCCUACAUCUUCAAUAAAAAAUAUGGUAUGGUGCAGCACAUGCCUGUAACCCUAACACUCAGGAGACGUGAGGCAGAACGUGAGUCUGAGGCUAACUCGGGCUAUACCGGAGACAUUCACAGGAGAUUGACAUUAAAGUGAUCCUAGCAUAACAAAUACACAUGACACUUAACGUUUGUUUGUGUAAGUGCAGAAAGCCUCAUUUUUCAUAGUACACCAAAGGAGCUGGGAAAGGAAAGCUCGGUCUCACCUUCAGGGUGACGUCGCAGAGCUCCCCGUUUUCAUAGAAGCCCAGGAGAGAGCCGUGAAAGUCCUUCCAGGCCUCGUUGGCUUCGAAGAUGAAGGAGUCGUCGCCAUCACACUCACUGACAGAGGACCUGCUCCUCACUUGCUGCUGCUGUUGCUGCUGCUGUUGGUGCUGGUGCUGGUACUGACGCCGCCCCUUUGUCACGUGACUCCUAGCUUGUUUCCCAUUGGUAGAUUCUGAAGCCAUUUGCAAUACUCUUCUUUUUAUACAGCUCUCUUCUGAAACAUCCCAUUUAUUCUCUUUUUAAGGGUGAGAAGACCAACAAUAGAUGUGGCUACUAAGCUUGAAGCAUCUUUCAAAAUUCCUUCAAUGUCACGAUACAGUCUGCUGAAAUAUUAAAAAAAAAACAACAAAACACAAAGAUAAAAGGUGUUAUUGUUGAUUAUAAUCAUUAGUACAACAUACGGAGCCACACUGGUCAUCUCUGGAGAAACCCUGUAGCUUACACAAAACACUGCCUGAGUCACUUAGCUGCAUCAGUGAAAUUACACCUUUCAGAGCAAAAACAACGAAAAGGCCUAACCUCAGAAGCACUGGCUUCAAAAGUAAGCUAUAAAGGACUACCCUGAGGGUUGUAGGAAGGGCAGACUGAACUUCCGAGGCAUGUACAAGUAGCGGACGUUUGUGUGAGAAUGGAGACCUGGACUAAUGCACAGCUUUUGAGAAGCAGACGUGCCUUGACCGGAAAGCCUGGUCUGUGAGGGUCUUUAAUGUUCUUCUCUUCUCUCGGCUCUUAUCAGACACCAAAGCCGGUGACCUGAGACUAGGGACUGUAGUUACUAAUAUGUUCUUAAGUUUCUGUGGCACACACAGCGUGAUGGUGACCCCUAAAAGGUCACGUCUUCCUAUGACCCCGUUGCUGUAACACCUGGAACCAGCCUCCAGGCUACAGAAAGUGGGAAGGUAACUGGGCACUGUGCUCUUGAUUUCAGAGAUUUCAGAGAACGGUGUAAGUGAAAGGCUCUCCUGCAGCCCAUGACGUCAACACGUAAAGCAAUCCCUAGAACCUGAGGGAGGCCUCUACUUGACCAUGAAAAGGCACAACUAUAGUUUGGAUCUCAGAUACCACCCAACGACCUGAAAAUUCCACUGACGGUGGUAGUGAUGGUGUGCAUGGUACAGAAGUCCAGCAUGUGCUGUGGCAUGGACGCAGAAAUCAGAGGACAACUCUGUAAGUUUACAGGAGCUGCCCUGCCCGUACGUCCUUCACGGUGGUGGACCUGAUAGCAGAAGUCAUGCUCUCUGUUCUCCUGACCCUGAGGAAGGAUUAACGAGCUUAUCCCGCUGGCAUCUGAUGCUGUGUGAUAAGUGUGGACAACCAUACUGGUCAGCACCUAGAAAGCGAUGGCGGAAGUGUAUGCAUUUGCACUUAACAGGAAGUAAGUAGAGUGGCCAGGAGCCUGUAGGAUACGGAUCCUCUUCCUCUUCCUCCCCCCGCCCCCAUUUUACCUAGUUUAGCUGUAGAGGCACUGUGGUGGAGACACCCUAGUUAACUGCACACCUGACAUUAAAGCUGAUAACGCUGAAGAGGUGGUGGGAUAGGAGAGAACAUGUCACGCUUCGGUGGCUGAGGUUCUGAGCUGAGGCUCGAGACCUUGGUCCGUUUAUGUCUCAGAACACUGAAACAUGGCUGAAGCCAAUCAAAGAAGAGCUAAAGAAACAGAAAAGCUGCCACAGUUCCCAGGCUAGACUCAACAUAGCAGACAUGACUGAUUCUGAUGUAAAUCAAUUCCCACCGAAAUCACAUAAGACACUUUUAUAAUAAAGACACAGACAAGCUGAGUCUAAAUUUCAUAACCGAGAAGCAAAGGAUCCAGAAUAUAGAAAACACUUUUGAAACAAGGUUUGAGGAAUCACUACACUCAAUUUAAAACCCAUACAUGCCUUCGGCAACAGUGUCACAUUACAUAACCACACGCAUACGAGAGAUAACCCUGGUCCGGGCCAUGGCAUAAAUAAAUGACGGAGCCAGCACACAAAUGGAGCAGCGUACACAGAUCCCCCGUGAAUAACGACCUCCAGCUGCUGGAGGAGCACGGGGGAGAAUGGCCGUCUACUGGGAACACGGCCUUUGCUUCAGAGUCCAGACAGAAGAGGAGGAGGGGACGUGUGUUCACAGAAACAUUUCCAGAUAUACCAUGCGGGCUUUUCGCUCAUACAUGUGUGCAUGUGUGUGCGUGGCAUGCAUGUGGUGGUCUAAGGACAAGCCUGGUGUGAGUCCUGUGUUUAAGACAGCCUCUCGUACCCUGGAACUUUGUCAACAAGGCUUGGCUGACUGGCCAGUGGGCUUCUAUGGGUUCGCCUACCUUCACCACUGAGCUCCCCAUAACUGCUGGAAUGGCAUGUGCAUGUCAACACACCCGGCUUUUGUAUGAGUACGGGGAAUCUGAGUUCAGUUCUUGUGCUUUCGAGGCAAAUGCUUCACCUUCCCAGCCUUAAGAUACUUUACUACCCAGCUGUAGUCAGUGGCACAGUGACCUCGCUCUGAAGAGCACAGCAUAAAACAGGAUGAACUAGAGAAUAGCUCCCCAGUGGUGGGAUCUGACACACUAUCCCGCAGUCAGGUCAAGGUUUGAUCACGAGCAACACUGAUGCCACGGACUUACGGAGCCCUGGUUCAGUGAGCUGCUGUCUCUAUUCCUAGAAGCCCACAGCCUAGGUUUGGCUGUGAGAAAAUCAUGAACCAAUACUCAUCAGUUAUCAGAAAUGAGGCAAGUCCAGUUACCGUGGCAGCCAGUAGGAGACCAAGGAGACACAGAUACUAAGUUUACUGCAGCAUCCUAGAUGGGAUCCUGGAACAGAAAAAGAAAGAAAGAAAAAAAAAAGUAAAGAGCAAGAAACGGGUCCCCCAGA